GUCCAGUUGCAGAGGGAGAGUGAGAAAGUAUGGCUUUAGUGGGUACCUGGCAUCCAGCCAGGGUCAACCCCCUACAUGACAUAUUAUCAGCAAGAAAGAUAAAGAGGUUGGAGUAUAGGCAGAACUGAGAUUCCAGGACCUCAGCAGAAAUUCAGUCUUCCUUCCAGACAAUGAGUGCAUUCAAAAAUCCAGAGGCUCUUCCUUUGGAAAGGGUUUGUAAGACCGAGAUGUCUGCCAAAGAAAUUGCAGGAUCCUCUAAAGACUGUCAGGUCCAAGUUCAGUGAAGGUUCCUGAUGUUGCUGAACUACAAGCAGAAGUCCACAAUUGCGCCUUGAAGGAGAAUCUCCAUCCUUAAACUGAACAUCUGUGUUCCACACCCAGUGCCAAAGGAACACCUUUCAGAAC